rnacentral:sRNA from 1 species
GACGUAUUCACAGGCACUUGUCUCAGAAAAAAAUCCUAUAUACCUUAUUAUAAUAUAAAGGUAUAUAUGAAAUUCUUUUCUGAGACAAGUGCCUGUGGACGUAUUAUAUU